AACUGGGAUUAGAUACCCCACUAUGCCUAGCCCUAAAUCUCGAUGCCUACCGUUCCAACCAGAGCACCCGCCUGAGUAUUACGAGCACAAACGCUUAAAACUCUAAGGACUUGGCGGUGCCCCAAACCCACCUAGAGGAGCCUGUCCUAUAAUCGAUAAUCCACGCUACACCCGCCCGCCUCUUGCACAAACAGCCUACAUACCGCCGUCGCCAGCCCACCUCUUGAGAGCACAAUAGUGAGCGCAAAAGCAAGCCCGCUAGUAAGACAGGUCAAGGUAUAGCCUAUGAGACGGAAGAGAUGGGCUACACUCUCUACAAUAGAGAACCCAACGGACAGGGGUAUGAAAUUGCCCCCCGAAGGCGGAUUUAGCAGUAAGAACAGUCCCAUAAAACUGCUCUUAAAAAGGCCCUGGGGCACGUACAUACCGCCCGUCACCCUCCU
rnacentral:rRNA from 1 species